rnacentral:lncRNA from 1 species
GGGAGUUGGGUGGGAGAGGGUGGGUGGGAAGUCUGUUCGGCUCCACUCUGGAGCGCCACCUGCUGAUAAAUUAGGUCCAAUAGCAUUCGGCAAACAACUAUGUUGGCGAUGAGAACAGUCAACUUGUUUCACAUAAAACAUCAUGCUAGUUAUCAGAACCAUUGUGGAACAUGCAGAUUUGACUUAUUAACAAAUGAGUCAAUUAUUAAAGAGAUUUUUCUCAAAGCUUUUUGGGGGGGGACUUGUUUAUUCUAAAUUCUGAACUCUAAUCAGAAAAACCACAGCUAUGUAUUGAGGGUCCGUUAUAUUAGUCCAACGUCUGAUUGACGUGCAUCCCCUUGCACUGGCCACGGGGCGCGAUGGUGAACGGGGCAGGUGGACUCUGCCCGCCCGCAUGGAACUUAGAGUUAAGACUAGAGUGCGACCCAGUGACAGACAGAUUGCUCAAAGGGGACGUGGAUGAAACAGACACAAGGUGGAGAGUGCGGAUGCCGGCUGGCCGAGGGAGACACUGUGGACGGACACUCGGGAAGGGCUCUCUGAGGAGACCUUGAAGCUCUUGUUCUUGGCUGUGCUCCCAGCACAGAGCAAGUGCCUGGAACAUAGCAAGCACCCGUGAGUGUUGCUGAGUAAACGGGGGGAUGACCUGGGGUGACGCCACGAACAGCCUUGAGCAGGGCUGAACAUUGUCAGCUUUCGGUUUUCACCUGGUCCUGUGUACACGGGUCAACUUGGCCUAAGGAUAAAAAAAUGGAGUGGAGAGGAAGUACAGGGAAACUGCUGGAAGUAUAGACAGCGGAAUCUUUUUCCCUUUGAGCUGGAUCAGCUUAUAAGGUCCAAUCCAGGUUCAAAGAUGGAUGAGAAUGCUGACAGUUCAAGGCCACUUUCUCUUUGGUUUACCACUGAACAACCAGACAAGCAGUGUUGGGAUCUGCACACCAGAUGAGGAUGCGAGGGAGUGGACAGGUUCCCUGAUGCCUUCCUCCUACUUCACAAAUGCCCAAGUUCAGGGGCUGCCCAAUGGCCUAGCAGUUAAGUUUGGCCCACUGUGCUUUUACAGCCCAGGUUCACUGGUUGAGUUCCCAGCCGCAGACCUACACCACUCGUCAGCCAUGCUGUGGCAUACAAAAUAUGCCCACAUACAAAAUAGAGGAAGAUCGGCACAGAUGUUAGCUCAGGGCUAAUCUUCCUCAGCAAAAAAAAAGAAAAGAAAAAAAGAAAAGAAAGGAAGAAAAUGUCCCAGUUCAGUAACUGAGGCAGCCCACGAGGAAUCGGACCAAGAAGUUCCAGAACCACAGAAUUCAUGACAUUAGGCAGGUGAGGGGUCACACUUACGGAUGUGUCCCACACCCUGUAAAAGAUUCACUGUUGCGUACAGUCAUGACUGUGUGCAGUUUGGGUCUCGCGCCAUCGUCUGCCCCGCACUUGACCUGUAGGCCGACCAAACCUCCAGUGAAGCCAAAUCUCACUGGAGAGCUGAGAGUAAGACGCAAACUCACCUGGAACAAUCAAGGACUAGUUCGUAACUGUGAUAAGAAUUUAACGAGAAAAAAGGAAACAUCGUUUCUAUGACUGGCCUGACUCUGAGAAACGGGCUCCCACUGACAGCCUUUCAAUCUGCGUUCAGUAGACCCGCCUGUCACGCACAUCUUUUUUCCACACGUAAACCUGCACCAGUAACACACCUGCAGAUACAUCUAUAAGCGUUGAUAAGUCACCUUCUGCAGUAAGAGACCCCUGGAUUUCAUUUGGAUAUGUUGCUGUCCAGACGGCAUUUUCUAGCCUACAGCUCUGCCUGGAGUGGCCGUGUGAUGAGUUCCUGCCAAUGAGAUUUCAGAGGAAAGAUUGCGAGGAAUUUCUGGAAAAUCUUGAAAGAAAAGAAGUGCGUCCCUGUUCUUUCCCCUCUUUCAUCUUGCUGCUUGGAAUAUAGUUGUGGUGACGGCCGCUCCAAAUUCAGGUUGGACCCGGAGGGCAAGAGCUGUGCCUGAGGCGAAACAGAAGAGGACACCGGAAGGAUCUCGGUGCAGUGUGGAGCCCCACGCCAGCCCUGGGUUGACCACCUCUGACUCUGACACAGCAGAGAAAGAAGCGUCCACCUUGUUCAUGACCUCGCUCUUCGGCAUUUCUGUUACCCGCUGCUGAACUUUAUCCUAACUACUUUGGUGAGCAGCGUAGAUCUUGCUGACGUUUUCAGGACAGGUGGAGGAGAAGGCAACAUUUCACACCACACAGCAAACUUAAUCUUUUCGUUAUGCGUGUCCUCUCUCUAGUCUCUUCCCAGAUCCAAGUUCUCUUUGGACCCUCCCCCACCCCAACCGUCCGCAACAUUCUUUUCCUCCCUUGCAGUCCCAUGUCUGAUCCUAUAAUGACACUUGUGGGGGCUCUCUACUUGCUUCGGCCCUCCUUCAGGGAUUCUUUUCCCUGGAAAGAGGGACAGCUAUUUUACCCGAGCUUGUGCUCGGUGAAGCUUCUGAACACUGUGCAGUCUGCCCCAAGAUGACCUAACCAGAUCAUCAACAACAACCACGUGAUGGUGUUUCCUGUGGGCAGCCAUUUAAUUCUCCCAGCAACCUGAUAAAGAAGCAGCCUGCUUUACAGAGAGGGGAGGUAAUCUACCUGUGCCUGGAAAGACUAGCUGUCGACCCCAAAUGCACACUCCUCCUUCCCCAGAAUGGAGUUUCCAUUGAGAAUUGUCCGUCUGUCGCAGACUGCGUGAAGGCUCGUACUUGUCAUGUCUUCCUAACAGGUGGAUCCUCUUUGUCCCUGGUGAUUCUCCUCUUCGUGAGUCCGUUCUGUCUGCUGCUCAUAGAACAACUCCUGCUUUCUGGCACUUGCUGUUUGCAUGGGGUAUCUUCCACCUUUCUCGCUUUAAGUCUGUUUGUGUUUAAAGUGCGUCUCACGUAGACGUAUGUGGUUGGCAUUUGCUUUCUUGCUGUUUGUACAAUCUCUGCCUUCUGACUGGAGCGUUCAGGGAGUUUGCUGUAACAGGAUUCUUCAUCUGGCUGUAUUUUGUCUGCCAUUUUGUCAUUUUCUAUUUAUCUCAUUGGGUUUUUAAAAUUUUUUUCUUCCUUAUUUCCUUCCUUCUUUUGUGUUAACUAAAUAUUUUUCAGGAUCCCAUUUUAAUUCUUCUGUUGACUUUCUAACUACCUUUCUUUUCGUUACUUUUUAGUUUCUCUAGCAUUUAAAAAAUGCCUCUUUAACUUAUCCUAGUCUACGGAGAGCUACAAUGAAUUACUCCAGAUAAAAUACAGAAAACCCCAACAGUAUAAUUCCAACUGCCCCCAUCCUUAGUGGUAGUAUUGUCGUAUACAUUGCAUCUAUAUUUGUUAGAAACCCAUCAACACAGUGUCAUACUUUUUUGCUUUAAAUAGUCAUAUGUCUUUCAAAUAAGAAAAAUAUAGUGAUUAUUUUUUACACUUGCUCACAUAUUUACUGUUUCCACUAUUUGAGUAUAGUUUCACUCUACUAUCAAGAAUCUUGAAAUAUUUAUAUUUUUUAACCAAUAAUUGCACUUACAGGAAUUUUUAUGGCAAUAAUUAGAAAUAGGAAUUAAUUAAUUAUUUAUUUAUUCAUUCAUUCAUUUAUUUUACUUGAGGAAGAUUAGCCCUGAGCUAACAUUUAUGCCAAUCUUCCUCUAUUUUGCAUGUGGGUCGCCUCCACAGCGUGGCUAAUUAGUGGUGGUGGUCUACACCCAGCAUCCGAACCCACGAACCUGGGCCACUGGAGCAGAGCUCAUGGACCUUAACCACUAGGCCAUGUGGUUGGCCCCAGGAAAUAAAUUUUUUUAUAAUUAUGUUUUUCUCACUGUUUAUUAUAAUAAAAAUUUGAAAUAAUUUAAAUGUCUAAAAAUAGAAAAAUCAUUAUGUAAACUAUUACAUACAUGAGAUGGAUAAGCAUGUUUGUUUUUAGGAUAUUGGUUAACAAAGACUCGUAUAUAAUUAUUAUAAUUAACAUGUAGCAUUGUUAGAGUUUUUAGGAAAAAAGACUGAAAAGAAGCAUACCUGGAUGUUAUUAGUGGUUCUCCCUAGCUGGUGGGUUAUUUGUUUGGAUUACUGCCUUUUGCUUAUUUACACUUUUCUGUAUUUUCUAAAUGUUCACAACAAAUAGAUGUUCUUUUAUAAUCAGAAGAAAAAUGCAAUGAGAAAGAAUUCAAGGGAGGUCUUGUUAUGUAAACACUGCUCAGGAUCUUUGAAACUAGUUAAUCACAGCAUUAAGAAUAAAUAAUUUUCAUAAAUAUAUUUAUCAACUUGAAUUCAGGAUAAUAUAUGUCUUCAGUUGGACAAGUUUGGAGCGUAGAAGGUAAGAAGGCAAGUUUUGGUGAGAGGUGCAUGAGCUUAUGUGUUGUUCAGCGUAUUACAGCCUGCUCUGUGUAGGCUUUCCUCUUCCGCGGGGAUUCAGAGAUGGCACAGGUCCGGGAGCGUCUCAAAGUCUCUCUCUCACUGGCAGCAUCAGCCCUUAUAAUUCCUAUAAAGCGACUCCUUUCGUUUAAGGUUCUUUUGUCUUUUUUCCUAUGAAACCUACCUUCUUUUAUCUGGCAAGGUAGCAUCCACUGACUCAUAGCCAUCACUGUGUCAGACUCACGGCAUUCUGACCAAGAGUGCUUCGGCCCCUUGGGUGAAGACCUCCAGCUGCAGAGCCGACAGCACAGGGCGACUCCAGGCAGAGUUCUAGGGUGGGCUUUCCUGGAGGUUCAGUUGUGGGGUGAGGUCCUGGGCACUUUGUAGGGUUGGUAGGUGGGUAGAAGGGAAAGAAAAAGAAGAAAAAGGAGAGAGAAUGCCAAAUGCAGGUGCAUUUGUACAUCCAAAGCUUCAUUCAAGGGGUGUGUUCAGCAGCUGCUGAGCCCCUGUCCCCUUGAAGUGGCAUUUGUCUGUGGCCAUUUGCUCCCAUGGCUCCUCGCUGCUUGCUCCUUCAUUGAGACAGACGUCAGAGUCCUUUGUGAAGUUUUCAGUCCUUUACCUAGGCGGGAUACAAGGAUUGUUUUACCCUUCUCACCUUCAAGUGCCAAAGAGUUGCCUCAGUAAUUGAAGAAAUUAAUAUGCAAUGAAGAGCCAUUGUGAGUGAACCUUACCAGGGAAAGUGUGAACUAGUUAAUCGGGGCCUUCCAGAGACUGCACCCCUUCUUCCCUGGCUGUCACACCCGCCCACAGCUCUCUGAGAUGGAAUUUAAAGGCAGAGGAGAGAGAAGACAGAGGUCUGUGGAUGCUUUGUGCUAGAUGGACCUUCCGGAGGCUCGUAAGUCAAGUUGCAUUGGCAGCCUCUGUUCAGCCUUCCCUGAGGACCAGUAUGAAGGGAGGCAGUCUUACACACACGGUCAGAGAUCCAGAAUACGCAGAGAUGUAAUAAAUUCAAAUCUAAGACCUUCGUUGUACAGACGAAAAAAUUCAAGUCUUGACAGCUUGAUUGAUUUAACUAAGAUUAUAACUCGCUAACAGCAGAGCCAGGAUUAGAAUCCAGGUCUCUUAUCUGCUAAUCUAAUGGGAUUCCCACAACACCAAGUUGUCCAAGUCCAGGUAUUACAGACGCACCUUCAAAGCCCACAAAAUCAAAGCCAAAAGCAAAGGCUGCGGGCCUGACCCCCACCACGGGGAGAAAACGUGUGAACGUUAGGUACAACGGAAUCUCAAGCCAUGUUGCUUUUAUAAAAAGUGGAUUAUACAUACACCAGUGUGACCUCAAUAAAAAAAGGUCAAACCCAGACUUACUAUAUGACCUCGAAAUACUCCUUCGAGGUAUAAGUUUCAAUUACGCAAGACUAAUAAAUUCUGGAGAUCUGCGGUGUGACUGCAUGCCAUAGUUAACACCACCAUACCAUGCGUGAAAAUUUAUAAAGAGGGUAGACCUCCUGGCAAGUGCCCUUACCACAAUAAACAAAAGCAAAGAAAAAAAGUGGAUUAUGCCAACUGUACUAAAUAAAUUUUUCCUCCUAAAAUUGCUAAACAAAAGAAAAGAAUAUAGGUUGCUACUUAUUUGGCCCUGAGAUAUUUUUUUGACAUGAAAUGAUGUAUAUCAUUUGAAAUCUGGCUUUAGCUGAUUUGGGCAAUACUUUUCAGCCACAAAGAGUAAGAACGAGCCUGUUGCGUCAAGAUGGCUGGGUGCCACAGAAGUUCAUGUUUAUUCUACUGGACAUUUACUCCUUAUCUAGACCCUGAGAAGGAAAGAGCAUGAUAAUGAAGUCCAUCAGUGACCUAAAUUGGGAGACGUUAUCAAUGUGAACGAGGACAGAGAAGUAAAAUAAAGUGAGUACAAGUUUAGACUUACGUGCCGGGGAAGAUGACGUCACUCCAAAAGGCACCUAGCAGCUUGGAAUGGAAAUGAGUUCCAGAAAUUCUAGAGAUAGGAAAGUCAUAGAAGAUGAUAAUGACGAAAAAGAAAAGAGGAAUUACGGCAGUUUGCAAAAUGAUGGACAAUUCCAAUAUGGAACAGAGAAAACAAUGCCCCAACAAAAUGGUGUAACCGUGCACUUACUGACAUUGACGUACUCCCUCCUCAAACCUACAGUAGAAAGAUUCCGUGAUUAUACUGGAGGUGUAAACACUUUUGGUGUGGAAUUAGAGAUGGUAUAAAAUAACCAAGGAAUGGAGGCGUUGCAUAUAAAUGAGACUGUUGGUACAAUGUGAAGGUGUCGGUGGUCUCCUCGGGAUCCCAGUUAAAUUGAAGACAAAAGAGGAGGAAUUGAAAAGAGAGAAACAUAGAAAGGAAAUGGCGGUUUCUGCCCUCUGUUGCCUAUUAUGCUUUUCUCUCUGCUGCUUCAUCAAGAAAAAACGAAUAGAAUUUUUCUCUUAGGUCCUUGCCAAUUUCUAGUUCUGGAAAAGAGCAGCCAGGCCAGGAGGUCAAGUGGGCUCCCUCUGUAAUCCCAGGAGCGUUCUUGAUGUCUCAGGGACCAGAGCCAGUGCUGUUCCACUCUUGUCAUCCUCCCACAUUUUUGGAAUUGGUGGGGUUAGAAUUCUCUCAAAGCGUCCUUAAGCAGAGCAUAUAGCAGUCUGUUCCCCACCAUACGAGGAAUGUCAUGAUGGAAUUCAGUACAUGUGGUUGCUGUGUAAUGAGAUUCUUUCAGAAAUCGUAUGCCCUUGGAUCAGAGAUAGGCCAUCCCUGCACAACUGGACAGAGCGACAGAGGCGCCCUUUUCAGCAGGUGCCUCUGUCUCGUGGCAGAAGGAAUCCAUUAAAGAUGGCAAGAGAUAGUUACAUUAAAGGUGACUUAACCAGAAAUACUAAAGGACCCAAACACGCAAAUUCUCACUGAGCCACAGGUAAGUAGGGGUUUGAUUAUUUUGCAAAAGUGUAGUAGAAAUGAUAAGUGAUGUGUGGUUAGUAAAAGGGAACAGAAUUAUAAGAAAAAGGAUACUUUAGCUUGACUUUUGGUAAACAUCCAUCCAGUGUCCAGUUUUAAAGGGAUGAUGCCCCUACAGUGAAGGGUCAACAAUCUCCCGUCAGAGAUCCUGGGAGCUCACCAGCAACAACUUCAGAUGCUCUCCCAGAGAAGAGGAGGAACGACCUGGAUGCCAGGCUUCCCUUUCUCUAUUCUGAAGGCUGGCUGUUUAAAGACACCAGAUGUAACAUCGCCAUCUGGAAAGCUCUGCUCUUUCCCAACCAGCACUGGGCGACUUGUGACCGUUUUCUUGGACCAGUGCUAUUUUGACAGAGGGCACUGUGUCAGCAUCAGUUACCUCGCUAUGCCCUUUCAUGAACCAAUCCAGGGGUUCUAAACCACAUCCUCCUUCCUUCACCUACUCAGUUCUGUGUAUCUGAAAGAUGAGCUUAAAAAGAAAUUCAAUGAAAGGCCCCAACUCUCCAGAUUUCUAGAGUAACAACAUCGUGCGUGCCGUCAGAGCAGGAAAAGGGCAUCAACGUCUGAGGCACGGGGUGCUCAUACAGAAUUCACUGGAUGCAUCAGAUAAAAGUCAUUCUUGAAGGAAUUGAUUUUAUUUUCAAACAACUUCAAAUAAGUGCUUUGGGGUUAAGAGAAACCUGUUUCUGAUUCAACUAAUAUUUUUGGGAUUUAUUUCUCGGUACCAAGUACAGUGGCCAGGCGCUACUUAUUUCAUUGCAGUUUUACUAAAUGCCAAGAAUUGUGCUUAUGCUAGGGACACACAGAUGAAUGAAAUGUGCCCACUGCCUUCCAGAGGCUCCCAGUUUAGUCGGAGAUGGAUUCAUAAAUAGGCAGCUGACUUCAGUAGCAAUGUAGUCCAUAUGAUGAAAGAGGCAUGGGGGCUGUGGGAGCACAUGGGAGGUCAGGCAAAGUUUUCUGCAGGAUAGCAAGUCUUGAAGGCUGGAAGGAAGAGGCAGCAGGUGGAACUAGGGCCAAGAGCUGAGACACAACGCUUACAUGGUCCCAGAGAACAGAGUGGGAUGUGGGGUGGGGUGACGAUGGCUAAAGAGUCAGACAGGGUCCAGGUCAUGCGAGGCCUCCUGUGACAGGUGAAGGAACUUUCCUCACAGGCACUUGAUGGAAUAUUUUAUUCCUAGCAGGAGAAUUCUGUGGGGAAAAGUUUGGAAAAGGUUGAAUCAAAAAGACUUCUUUAACAUCGAGACUCUUGGAAAUUGAAAUAUGCUGAUGUGCAUUGUGACACUCCCAAACAAGGACGUGCUGUACAGUCUCUGCCACACAACACUUAGGAAAGAUUGUCUUUGGGGACUAGAGCUCCGACAGGCACACUUUGGGAAGUCAAGCUUAAAUCUUUGGGGAACUAUUCAGGGUUUUAAGUAGAUCAAUGAUAUGGACAGGUUUGCAUUAUAGAACACACUCGUAGCAUUUCAGAGCCUCCAUCCGGAGUACGGGAGACCGUCUAGCCGGACAGAAUUGGUGGCAGCGAGACCCGCUGGGGGACCAUGAUUCUAGGGGAACAAAGAUGAGGGCCUGCACUUAGGAGUAGGAAGAAGACGUGUAGGAGAUUGACAGCACUUGAUCAUUGAUUGAAUGUAGGGAGGGUGAGGGAUGGGAAAGACUCAAGGUUUCUAACACGAGUGAUCCGGUGGUUGGGGUGCCAACAAGUAAAUAAUUAUUCGAGAAAGAGUAGGUUUAGGGAAGAUACCAUGAGUUUAGGCUUGGACAAGCUGAGGUUGAGGAAAUGUAUGUCACAGCUACUGGAGAUUUUAGGAGAUAGUAGGAUGUGAGGGUGAAGCUUCUGUUAAAUACCCAGAUUUGGUAGUCAACAGUAUAUAGGCGUAGUUAAAAUUAUGACAGGAUUAAAAAUCACCUAGAAAGAGAAAGUGGGAUUUGAAGAAAUGUGGGCCAAGGAUAGAAGCUGGGGGGAUUCCAACAGCAGUGUUUAGACCCGUAACAGCUUCAGAAACUGAGUCAGCUCAAACCAUAAACACAGGUUGCUAUUUAAAAACACCAGCAACACUGUUACCUCUAUUCCAGUGAUGACCGGAUCCACGUUAAGUUCAUGUCUCUCCAUGCUUAAACUUCAUAUUGGUCUACAUCAAGCGUUUCAACAAGCAUUCUCCACUUCCACUCCAGCUAAGUUACCAGAAUUCUCUUUUUUUUUAAUUUUGAAGUGCUUUCCUUCUUUUAGUUCCUCCUUGGAAACAGAGAUUCAGCAGCAGAGAGAGAUGUGGAGUGAGGCCGUCAUAGUCAAACCCGUGAUCUUGCAGAUCGCUGGUGAUGGCUCGAAAUCUGCAUAGCAAGGGCUUGGGCUGGGCUAAAAAAGGUGCUAAAGCGAGGUUUGUACAGGUUGUGUUUUUACUGAGGUUGAAUGUUUCCUUGGGGAGAUUGAGGGUUGAUGAAAAUUAUGCGUGGGGUGGAGGGAGCUAAAUUUCCCACAGAGCCUCCACUUGGGCCCACAAUGGCUCUUUCACAUAAUUAAAUAUGUGGUAAUUAAUGUUUCCAGCCAAUAUUAAAAUUAACCCUCUAAGUAGCUAACAAUGUGUCAAUCUAAAAAAUAUCUUCUGCAACCAAAUUGUGCUAAGCCACAUCUUCAUCGUGUAUUUAUUAACCUAAUAUAUACGGUUGAUUACGUUUCCUGUGAGCAUUCCAUUCUUUAGUACAUUGAAGUUGCUUUUUUGAAGCAAUGUGGUAGAACUUUAAAAUACAACCACCCAGGGGCAAACCAGAGCUUGGCUUAGCGUCUACCGCUGUUGGUCUCGUCUUUAUAUUAUAGGUACUAAAAUUUUUGCAUAAUCAUCUAAGUCCUUUGUGGAAAGAGUCAGAGUAAAAAUAAAAACGAGUAAACAAGUAUUUGCAGUGUACAUCUAAUCUGAGUAACAAAUGACACCUAAUCUGGGUAACAAAUGCCGUAUGUAAUUCACUUGUGGUGAAUGACAUGCUUUGGGGUUUGCGUUGCAAGUUUAGUGUCUAUGAAUGUGAAGGAGUAUUAAGGAACAGAACAAACGUUAAAAAAUGAAAUCACAAAAUAUUCUGUGUGUAUAGCAAUUAACGGUAAUUUAAAAGAUUAUACCUCACCUAUUUGAAGAAUUAAAGCCAUUCGUUUCUUUGGCACAGAGUUUUCCUCCCAGGGGUAGUUGAGGCCUUACAAAUCCAGCUUGUCGCACCGUUACAACGUUGGAGAGGGCAGAGGCAGCAUCUCGAGGGUGCACGCCCACUCCACAGACAGCCUUGCCAAAGGAAGGGCUGCCUGGCAUCCUGCCAUCUCUCCCGGCCGCUGGUCUCUACACCACGUCGCCCUGUUCCUGCUGAGUCAGGUCGGAACAGCCUUGCCUAGGAAAACUUUGAGGCUGUGUUGACCCAAUGCCCAGUCACUUGGUUCAGAGAAACCUCAGGAAACCUGAGUGGCGAGAUGCCUGGAUGAUAGUUUUGUUAUGUUCUCACCAUGGAAUCCUGAAAGGAAAGGAUGGAAAGAAAAAGAAAGGCAGAGAGUGGAGUUUGAAUACUUAUGACAAUCUACCUGACACUGGACUUUCAUCAAGUCAAUAUGUGACUUUAGCAGAAAUGUAUCUUAAAGAAGCAUAUAGUGAAACAUCAGAUCUAAUGAGAUACUCAUAAAGGGGUCAACAUGCUCAACAACAAUGUGUUAAGCACCUGCUACGUACAAGACGUUGCAAAAUUCUGGGACUGAGGUUGGAAGAGAUGAAAAGUAAUGAGGGAUAUAGAUGAAUGAGACAUGGUCUUUCUCCCCAAGGAGCUUCCGGUCUGGGCAGGGAGAUACGCUUCUACAGGGUAAGCAUGGAAAAUAUGGAAAAGCUGUGGGACAGCAGAGAGAAGACGCCUGGAGGUGGAUCUUAGGCUUAGAUUCAAAAUAAGUUUCCCUUACUUACUGGUCUAGACUAAGUACAGGACAUCAAGUACAGGACACCCAGUUAAAUGUGAAUUUUAAAUAAACAAUGAAUAAUUUUUCACUAUAAGUAUACCCCAUUGCGUGGGACAUGCUUACACUAAAAAAUUACUUUUUUAAAAAAUCUGAAAUUAAAAUUUAGCAGAGCAUCUGUAUUUUUAUUUGCUAAAUCUGACAACCGUACCCUAGGCAAGUGCUGGUUAUUCAUAGUUUGCCAAGCCCAUCCACCCUUUCCUACGCCACUCUGGAGGCUCCUGGAGGCUGACCCCUGUGAUCUCUAUUUCCUGUGCUCUCCUACCAGUCGGCUUCUUGUUGAGUCAGCCUGUGGGAGGGCCUGAGAGGAGGGCAAACUCCAGGAGGAAAGAGAGGCGGGUUCUCUUCCUUGCCUCUUCUGUGCCUCAGCAAAGCAUCUCUGGUGGUAGCAUAUUCCUGUGCCUACAGCUCAUGCCUGACAGCUCCUCCUGCAUGGUUUCAGCUCUCCUGGGGCUCUGGUCACACGUUUUCCUCCCAUUGCUCCUCCAGGCUUGGGAGUAGCAACAACUUCCCUUUGCUGCUCUUCUCUGGGUGCCUCAGCAUCCCUUUUGGUUAUCCUAACUGUGCCCGUAUCCCUGUAGGUAGUAUAUUAUCAUCUUCAUUGGAGUCACUGAGUUAAAUUCUCUUUCCUUCCUGGACCCUGAUUGGUAAAGCACGUCUCUUUAACUUCUUUGAGCCUCAUCUCUUUAUUUAUAAAAUGAGGAGCAAUUGGCUCCAAGGCUCAGGAGUUAGAGCGCUGGUCUUAUAAAGAGAGGAGAGGAAUGCUUCCUUCACGCAUUUCUUUGGUGAGGAGGUUAUGCAUGUGGAUAUCAUGGACUGGGGGUGGGGGCUCUAACAUUUGAAUUGAUAUUUAGCACAUCGUAUCAACACUUUCCGGCUCUGGUAUGGCUGAGAAGAUCUACAGAUAACAACUCUAAACUCUUGCCCAAAUAUUAAAAUCAACUAUAUGAAGGAACUGGAUAAUGACCCAAAGCAGGCAGAUACUGGAGCAGAGUUAACCAGUGGAUGAGGGGAACAGCACUGGGUGAGUUUCUCAUUUUUAUAGCUUUUUUUUUUUUUUUUUUUGAGGAAGAUUAGCCCUGUGCUAACUGCUGCCAAUCCUCCUCCUUUUGCUGAGGAAGACUGGCCCUGAGCUAAGAUCUGUGCCCAUCUUCCUCUGCUUUAUAUGUGGGACACCUGCCACAGCAUUGCUUGCCAAGCGGUGCCAUGUCUGCACCCGGGAUCUGAACUGGCGAACCCUGGGCUGCCGAAGUGGAACAUGCGCACUUAACUGCUGCGCCUCCAGGCCAGCCCCUCAUUUUUAUAGCUUUUAGACGAAGGGCAGACCCCGGUCUGCACCACGUGGGGAGGCUAACAAUCCAACAGAGAACUUGCAGUCUUACUGACGGAAGGACCAGAGGAUAGAGUUUAGGGCAGCUGCAGUCACUAGAAAUUGUGGGAGGAAAUCCAAGGAGGAAGAGUUCCAGAAAGGAGGAGCCCCAAAUUCUAUGUAUAAACUCUCCCCAAAUUUCUGGCUGACCCCCGUGUGGGGCCGACUCAAGCACGUCAACUAAAACGAAAAGAACAGCACUGAGGUUUAAGCUGCUGCCUGUGGCAGGAGAAAGUCUGUAGUUUGAGUCCAGCCAAGCUGUGUCUAUUAAAACAAAACAAUCAACACUUUUCAGAGAAAUAUAGCAGAAUCCAGAGUCGCUACAACACAUCAUUCACAGCGUCCAAAAUACAAUCCAUAAUUACUUGAUGAAGAAACGGGAAACAUGAACAAUUUUAAAGAGAAAAGACAAUUAUCAGAGCCUGACCUCUAAGAAAACACUGUUAUUGGGAGUGGCAGACAUGGAUUUUAAAGCAGCUAUUAUAACUAUAUAAAGAAAAAUGUGCUGAUAAUAAAUAAAAAGAUAAGAAAUCUCAGCAGGGAAACAGAAACUAUAAAAACUAAAAAUUCUAGAACUGAAAAAUAGAAUAUCCCACUGAAUGGGAUUAGCACAUAAUGAAUAUGAUAAAAGAAAGAAUUAAUGCACUCAAAAAUAGGUCAACAGAAAUCACACAACUUGAAGAACAGAGAGAAAAGACUGAAAAAAAUUAACAGCCUUGAGUGCCUACAGAAAAAUAUCAAAAGGUCUGACGUGGCAUAAUUGGAAUCCCAGAAGGAGAGAAGAGAGGAAAUGCAGCAGAACAAGAUAUUUAAAUAAAUAAUGGCUGAAAUUUUCUCACUUUGGUGAAAGAAAGAAAUUUACAGCUUCAGGAAUCUGAGAAAGCCCCAAGCAGGGUGAGCCCAGAGAAAAGUCACACCUGGUCACGGUCAUAGCGAGGCUGCUAAAGUCAAAGGUGAAAGGAACAUUGUGAAAGAGGGCUGAGGAAAGUGACACAUUGUGUGCAGGGAAACAAUUCAAAUGGCUGCUGACUCCCCAUCUAACAGUGAGGUUAGAAAACAGAGCAGCAGUAUCUUUAAAGUGCUAAAAGAAAAAACGGAAAACUCAGAAAAAAAAUUCUUCUAUAAUGAAGGCAAAAUAAGCACAUUUUCAAAUGAAAGAAAAUCAAGAGAAUUCUUUGCCAGCAGAACUGUGCUGCAAGAAAUGCAAAAGCAGGUUCUUCGGGCAGAUGGAAAAUGAUAACAGAUGAAAAUUCAGAUCUUUAGAAAGAGUGAAGAGUUUUUCAAAUGGUAAACAUGUGGGUAAAUAAGUAUUUCCUAGCAAUCGACAUGAAAAUAAUUGUUUCUCUAUGUAGUGUUACUUUGCAAUAUUGUAUCUAAAUACGUGUGAAAGAGUAUUAGAUCAGAAGUUUCAACUGAGACACGAGACACAACAGAGGCCACAAAGCAAAGGAUCUGGUAAUCCAGAUGCAAAUUUUCAAAAGAUUUAGCCAAGAAUAUGUGAGAUGACCCACCCAUGUUCAGAGUAUGAAAAGUUUGGAUUUGGGGGAGGUUGAAGAGACUUUUGAGGGUGAUUAAUUUAGAGAGAGUCACACUGUGCCGUGAUUAGUACCUUUCCCAUCAAAGGGAUUGGGGUCGGAGCCUGGCGCUCAAGUCCAGUGAAGGCAGCUUCAAUGGGACCAACCAUUUGGACAGCUCGACGUGCGUUCCCCAUGGCGGAAGGGCAUGCACGGAUUUAUUUUAUUUAUUAAUUCAGGCUUAUUGAGAUAUAUAGACAGUAAAACUCACCUUUUUCAGGUGUACUAUCCUAUGAGCUUUGACAAGUGGAUAUAGUCAUAUAAAUAAGACCACAUCAUUACCCCCAGAAGUUCUCGGGUGCCCCUCUGUGGUCAAUUCCCUCCCCAUACUCCCAGCCAUUAACAAACACUGAUUUGAAUUUUGUCCCUACAGCUUUGUCUGUUUGAGAAUGUCAUAUAAAUAGAAUUAUAUAGUAUGUAGUUUUUUGUGUCUGCCUUCUUUCAAUUAACCUUUUGCUUUUUUGCGGGGGGGGGGGGCAAGACUGGCCCUGAGCUAACAUCUGUGCCCAUCUUCCUCUACUUUAUACGUGGGACGGCUGCCACAGCAUGGCUUGACAAGCGGUGCCAUGUCCGCACCUGAGAUCCAAACCAGUGAACCCCCUACUGCUGAAGCGGAACAUGAACUAGACCGUUGCGCUGCCAGCCGCCCCCUGGCUUAUUGUCUUUGAGAUUCAUUCACGUUGUUGCAUGUAUUGGUAGUUUUAUGGCUGAAUUUGUUCAAUUCCCCAAUUGAUGAAUUUUGGGGUUGUUCCAAGUUUUUGGCAAUUAUGAGUAAAGCUCUUUUAAGCAUUUGCAUACAGAUCUUCGUGUGAAUGUAUCUUCAUUUCUCUUGGGCUGGGAGUGGGGUUUCUGGGGCCGUACGUGCAGUCUAUGUUUAACGGUGUUGGGUUGCUGUCGACUCUGCUUGGGAAAUCUGCAAGAUGGGUUAACCGACAGCUCUAGCAGCGGAACGGAGACUGUCUGCUCCCCGAGAGUGUGCUGGGACAAGGAAUACAAGGGUG